AAUCACUAACCACACGGCCAGG
rnacentral:miRNA from 10 species